AACGAACGCUGGCGGCAGGCCUAACACAUGCCAGUCGAGCGGACCCUUCGGGGUUAGCGGCGGACGGGUGAGUAACGCGUGGGAAUAUGCCCUUCUCUACGGAAUAGUCCUGGGAAACUGGGGGUAAUACCGUAUACGCCCUUUGGGGGAAAGAUUUAUCGGGGAAGGAUUAGCCCGCGUUGGAUUAGGUAGUUGGUGGGGUAAUGGCCUACCAAGCCGACGAUCCAUAGCUGGUUUGAGAGGAUGAUCAGCCACACUGGGACUGAGACACGGCCCAGACUCCUACGGGAGGCAGCAGUGGGGAAUCUUAGACAAUGGGGGCAACCCUGAUCGAGCCAGGCCGCGUGAGUGAUGAAGGCCUUAGGGUUGUAAAGCUCUUUCAGCUGGGAAGAUAAUGACGGUACCAGCAGAAGAAGCCCCGGCUAACUCCGUG
rnacentral:rRNA from 1 species